rnacentral:rRNA from 1 species
UUUGAAAUAAGAUUAGUACCAAAAGCUGCCUCUGAUUUCAGAAUCCGAUUUGGAAAAUUGGCUAUGGAGAUUUUGUGCGGUCAGAGAUUCAUGCAGACACAAAGGGGCCCCUAUUUUCAAGCAGGAAAGUCGUUUCGAUCCAAUCCAUUCUUGCGGUCCGAAAAAGACACUGGAUAUGUCAGUGACUUUGCACGACAAAGCGUUCUCCGAGGGCAUGGAAUGUACCAUUUUUGGGUCAGAAUCUUUACAGUAAUGUCUAUGUUGGAUUCUCCGGUUGAAAUACGGGAAAACUCCAUCAAUUUUUUUAUGGAAAUGGUGCUUUGCGAAUUCUCCCCGGAACUGGAAGAUCAUUUUGAGAUCUUCGAGCAUAUUCGAGGGUUCAAUGUGAAUAUUGUCACUUCGGCCAAUACAAAAGAUGAGACUUUACUACUGUGGAGCGGCUUUUUGCUAAAAGAUGAGGGGGAAACUAACAUCUCGAGGUUCUUUGAUGGGCAUAAAGAAAUCGUCUUGGUAGCAACCACCAAACUAAUAGAAUCAAGGUUAGCUCUGCAGCUAGUCCACAAGCAAGGGUUGUAG